rnacentral:lncRNA from 1 species
AAGAAUCACAAUUACUGUUAGGAAAAGGAAUUCGAAAGUCUAACUGGGAAAACAAGAAUUACAAUAGAUAUAGGAAGAUAUGGUGUGAGUGCCAAUGAGACAACUCUCCAUCCAAAUAACAAUUUAUAAAAGUAAACCAUUAUAGGUCAAUGUACGGCCUUCAACACGAAGCCUUGGCUCACACCGAACAAUAAGCUAUAAAGGGUACCAAAAUUACUAGUGUAAAAUCAUUCAAACGGGAAAACCAACGGUAUAAUUUAUACAAAAAAAAAACCAAUAAAAAACCAAGUUCAGUUUCAAAAUUUUGGAAUUUGUACCUUAGACAAGGCAAUACAAUGGUGGUUGCUAUGCAUUUUCUAAUUAUCGAGAAUGGCUGCUUAAGUCUAUGAGGACAAUAUUGACCCCUUAUCUUUCAAUUAGGAUCUCUAUCAUAGUUAUUAUUAAUCUGAAC